UUGACAUACUAAGAACUUUCCAGAGAUGGAUUGGUCGCCUUCGGGAACUUAGAUACAGGUGCUGCAUGGCUGUCGUCAGCUCGUGUCGUGAGAUGUUGGGUUAAGUCCCGNAACGAGCGCAACCCUUUUCCUAUUUGCCAGCGGGUCAUGCCGGGAACUUUAAGGAUACUGCCAGUGACAAACUGGAGGAAGGCGGGGACGACGUCAAGUCAUCAUGGCCCUUACGGCCAGGGCUACACACGUGCUACAAUGGUCGGUACAAAGGGUUGCUACCUCGCGAGAGGAUGCUAAUCUCAAAAAGCCGAUCGUAGUCCGGAUCGCAGUCUGCAACUCGACUGCGUGAAGUCGGAAUCGCUAGUAAUCGCGGAUCAGAAUGCCGCGGUGAAUACGUUCCCGGGCCUUGUACACACCGCCCGUCACACCAUGGGAGUUUGUUGCACCAGAAGUAGGUAGUCUAACCGCAAGGAGGACGCUUACCACGGUGUGGCCGAUGACUGGGGUGAAGUCGUAACAAGGUAGGCGUAGAUGA
rnacentral:rRNA from 1 species